GAUGAACGCUGGCGGCGUGCCUAAUACAUGCAAGUCGAGCGAACAGAUAAGGAGCUUGCUCCUUUGACGUUAGCGGCGGACGGGUGAGUAACACGUGGAUAACCUACCUAUAAGACUGGGAUAACUUCGGGAAACCGGAGCUAAUACCGGAUAACAUAUUGAACCGCAUGGUUCAAUAGUGAAAGGCGGCUUUGCUGUCACUUAUAGAUGGAUCCGCGCCGUAUUAGCUAGUUGGUAAGGUAACGGCUUACCAAGGCAACGAUACGUAGCCGACCUGAGAGGGUGAUCGGCCACACUGGAACUGAGACACGGUCCAGACUCCUACGGGAGGCAGCAGUAGGGAAUCUUCCGCAAUGGGCGAAAGCCUGACGGAGCAACGCCGCGUGAGUGGUGAAGGUCUUCGGAUCGUAAAACUCUGUUAUCAGGGAAGAACAAAUGUGUAAGUAACUGUGCACAUCUUGACGGUACCUGAUCAGAAAGCCACGGCUAACUACGUG
rnacentral:rRNA from 1 species